rnacentral:rRNA from 1 species
AGUGAACGCUGGCGGUAGGCCUAACACAUACCAGUCGAACGGCAGCACAGUAAGAGCUUGCUCUUACGGGUGGCGAGUGGCGGACGGGUGAGGAAUACAUCGGAAUCUACUUUUUCGUGGGGGAUAACGUAGGGAAACUUACGCUAAUACCGCAUACGACCUACGGGUGAAAGCAGGGGAUCUUCGGACCUUGCGCGAUUGAAUGAGCCGAUGUCGGAUUAGCUAGUUGGCGGGGUAAGGGCCCACCAAGGCGACGAUCCGUAGCUGGUCUGAGAGGAUGAUCAGCCACACUGGAACUGAGACACGGUCCAGACUCCUACGGGAGGCAGCAGUGGGGAAUAUUGGACAAUGGGCGCAAGCCUGAUCCAGCCAUACCGCGUGGGUGAAGAAGGCCUUCGGGUUGUAAAGCCCUUUUGUUGGGAAAGAAAAGCAGCAGGUUAAUACCCCGCUGUUCUGACGGUACCCAAAGAAUAAGCACCGGCUAACUUCGUG